GCCCGGCUAGCUCAGUUAGAGCAUGAGACUCUUAAUUUCAGGGUCGUGGGUUCGAGCCCCACGUGGCGCC
rnacentral:tRNA from 1 species